rnacentral:rRNA from 1 species
UACCUGGUUGAUCCUGCCAGUAAUCAUAUGCUUGUCUCAAAGAUUAAGCCAUGCAUGUCUAAGUACAUGCCGAAAUAAGGCGAAACCGCGAAUGGCUCAUUAAAUCAGUUAUGGUUCCUUAGAUCGUUUCUUCCUACUUGGAUAACUGUGGCAAUUCUAGAGCUAAUACAUGCAGUGAGCCUGAAGCCCUUUGGGCGACGGGUGCUUUUAUUAGACCAAGAUCGAUCGGGUUUCGGCCCGUAUUGUGUGGUGACUCUGGAUAACUUUGUGCUGAUCGCAUGGCCACGAGCCGGCGACGUUUCUUUCAAGUGUCUGCCUUAUCAACUUUCGAUGGUAGGUUACUUGCUUACCAUGGUUGUUACGGGUAACGGAGAAUCAGGGUUCGAUUCCGGAGAGGGAGCCUGAGAAACGGCUACCACAUCCAAGGAAGGCAGCAGGCGCGCAAAUUACCCACUCCCGGCACGGGGAGGUAGUGACGAAAAAUAACAAUACGGGACUCUUUUGAGGCCCCGUAAUUGAAAUGAGUACACUCUAAAUCCUUUAACGAGGAUCAAUUGGAGGGCAAGUCUGGUGCCAGCAGCCGCGGUAAUUCCAGCUCCAAUAGCGUAUACUAAAGCUGCUGCGGUUAAAAAGCUCGUAGUUGGAUCUCAGUUCCAGACGAGUAGUGCAUCUACCCGAUGCGACGGCUCGGACUGAACAUCACGCCGGUCCUUUCUUGGUGCACUUCAUUGUGUGCCUCGAGAAGGCCGGUGCUUUUACUUUGAAAAAAUUAGAGUGCUCAACGCAGGCGAGUCGCCUGAAUAAACUUGCAUGGAAUAAUAGAACAAGACCUCGUUUCUGUUCUGUUGGUUUUUGGAAUACGAGGUAAUGAUUAAGAGGGACAGACGGGGGCAUUCGUAUUGCGGCGCUAGAGGUGAAAUUCUUGGACCGUCGCAAGACGAACUACUGCGAAAGCAUUUGCCAAGAAUGUUUUCUUUGAUCAAGAACGAAAGUCAGAGGUUCGAAGGCGAUCAGAUACCGCCCUAGUUCUGACCAUAAACGAUGCCAACCAGCGAUCCGCCUGAGUUACUCAAAUGACUCGGCGGGCAGCUUCCGGGAAACCAAAGUGUUUGGGUUCCGGGGGAAGUAUGGUUGCAAAGCUGAAACUUAAAGGAAUUGACGGAAGGGCACCACCAGGAGUGGAGCCUGCGGCUUAAUUUGACUCAACACGGGAAAACUUACCCGGCCCGGACACUGGGAGGAUUGACAGAUUGAGAGCUCUUUCUUGAUUCGGUGGAUGGUGGUGCAUGGCCGUUCUUAGUUGGUGGAGCGAUUGGUCUGGUUAAUUCCGAUAACGAACGAGACUCUAGCCUAUUAAAUAGGUGCGGGGUUCCCAGCACCUUACAACCUUCUUAGAGGGACAAGCGGCUCCUAGCCGCACGAAACAGAGCAAUAACAGGUCUGUGAUGCCCUUAGAUGUCCGGGGCCGCACGCGCGCUACACUGAAGGAAGCAGCGUGUCUUUAUCCCUGUCUGAAAAGACUGGGUAACCCGUGGAACUUCUUUCGUGAUUGGGAUAGGGGCUUGCAAUUGUUCCCCUUGAACGAGGAAUUCCCAGUAAGCGCGAGUCAUAAGCUCGCGUUGAUUACGUCCCUGCCCUUUGUACACACCGCCCGUCGCUACUACCGAUUGAAUGAUUUAGUGAGGUCUUCGGACCGAUGUCCGGCGCGGCCUUUCGGUUGCGCCGGUCUGUUGGAAAGAUGACCAAACUUGAUCAUUUAGAGGAAGUAAAAGUCGUAACAAGGUUUCCGUAGGUGAACCUGCGGAAGGAUCAUUA